UGGAUCGAUGAUGAUCAAUGCCAGCGUAUGAGUCCUCGAUGACGAAUAAUAUGUGUCUGGAACUCUGAGGUCCAA
ensembl:snoRNA